rnacentral:rRNA from 1 species
AUUGAACGCUGGCGGCAUGCCUUACACAUGCAAGUCGAACGGCAGCAUGAUCUAGCUUGCUAGAUUGAUGGCGAGUGGCGAACGGGUGAGUAAUACAUCGGGACGUGCCCUGUAGUGGGGGAUAACCAGUCGAAAGAUUAGCUAAUACCGCAUACGACCUGAGGGUGAAAGUGGGGGACCGCAAGGCCUCAUGCUAUAGGAGCGGCCGAUGUCUGAGUAGCUAGUUGGUGAGGUAAGGGCUAACCAAGGCGACGAGCAGUAGCUGGUCUGAGAGGACGAUCAGCCACACUGGGACUGAGACACGGCCCAGACUCCUACGGGAGGCAGCAGUGGGGAAUUUUGGACAAUGGGGGCAACCCUGAUCCAGCAAUGCCGCGUGUGUGAAGAAGGCCUUCGGGUUGUAAAGCACUUUUGUCCGGAAAGAAAUCGCACUUACUAAUAUUAGGUGUGGAUGACGGUACCGGAAGAAUAAGGACCGGCUAACUACGUGCCAGCAGCCGCAGUAAUAC